rnacentral:rRNA from 1 species
AUUGAACGCUGGCGGCAGGCCUAACACAUGCAAGUCGAGCGAGCGGCGGCCGGGUGCGUUAUGUCUGGGAAACUGCCUGAUGGAGAGGGAUAACUACUGUAAACGGUAGCUAAUACCGCAUACCAUCAGAUGUGCCCCGAUGGGAUUAGCGGGUAGGUGGGGUAAAGGCCCACCUAGGCGACGAUCCCUAGCUGGUCUGAGAGGAUGACCAGUAACACUGGAACGGGGAAACGGUCCAGACUCCAACGGGAGGCAGCAGUGGGGAAUAGUGCACAAUGGGCGAAAGCCUGAUGCAGCCAUGCCGCGUGUGGGAAGAAGGCCUUCGGGUUGUAAAGCACUUUCAGCGGGGAGGCGUUACCCGCAGAAGAAGCACCGGCUAACUCCGUGCCAGCAGCCGCGGUAAUAC